AACGAACGCUGGCGGCAGGCUUAACACAUGCAAGUCGAGCGCCCCGCAAGGGGAGCGGCAGACGGGUGAGUAACGCGUGGGAAUCUACCCAUCCCUACGGAACAACUCCGGGAAACUGGAGCUAAUACCGUAUACGCCCUUUGGGGGAAAGAUUUAUCGGGGAUGGAUGAGCCCGCGUUGGAUUAGCUAGUUGGUGGGGUAAAGGCCUACCAAGGCGACGAUCCAUAGCUGGUCUGAGAGGAUGAUCAGCCACAUUGGGACUGAGACACGGCCCAAACUCCUACGGGAGGCAGCAGUGGGGAAUAUUGGACAAUGGGCGCAAGCCUGAUCCAGCCAUGCCGCGUGAGUGAUGAAGGCCCUAGGGUUGUAAAGCUCUUUCACCGAUGAAGAUAAUGACGGUAGUCGGAGAAGAAGCCCCGGCUAACUUCGUGCCAGCCGCCGCAGUAAGAC
rnacentral:rRNA from 1 species